rnacentral:rRNA from 1 species
AUUGAACGCUGGCGGUAGGCCUAACACAUGCAAGUCGAACGCGAAAGUCCUUCGGGCGGAGUAGAGUGGCGGACGGGUGAGUAACGCGUGGGAAUCUACCCUAGAGCGGGGGACGAACCCGGGGAAACCCGGGCUAAUACCGCAUACGUCCUACGGGAGAAAGAGGGCCUCUGCUUGCACGCUCUCACUCCAGGAUGAGCCCACGUCCGAUUAGCUAGUUGGUAGGGUAAAGGCCUACCAAGGCCACGAUCGGUAGCUGGUCUGAGAGGAUGGCCAGCCACACUGGGACUGAGACACGGCCCAGACUCCUACGGGAGGCAGCAGUGGGGAAUAUUGGACAAUGGGCGCAAGCCUGAUCCAGCAAUGCCGCGUGUGUGAAGAAGGCCUGCGGGUUGUAAAGCACUUUCAGUGGGGAAGAACAGAUUCGGGUCAAUACCCCGGAGCCCUGACGUUACCCACAGAAGAAGCACCGGCUAACUCCGUG